rnacentral:rRNA from 1 species
AUGGUGGCCUCGCUGUCAGCGCCCAUGUGGCAGUCCCCGGUGGAUCUUCUUCUUCCCUCACAUUCUAUUUCAGCUAGACAUUUCAUUGAGCACUUGGCAUGUAUCAAGCAGCCGGAGAAGGACAUGGGUGUGGAAGCCUCCGGCAAGGUGGCUCUGGUCCUUGGCCGCCCACGGGAUCGAGGUGGAGGCUGCAGCCGUAUGCAUCUGCGACGCUGUCCGCACACACAGGCCCACCAUGGCCCCGCCGUGGUGGUACGAGCUCGAACCUAUGUGGAGGUCAAGCCGCCGCGUGGAUCCAUGCAGCUGGCCGCACACCCAGCUCCGUGCGAUGGCCGACGCACAGGUUGCAGCUGUUGUCGUCGAUUGUGGCAACGCCCUUUGACUCGCUUGGCGUGGCCGCUGGCCACCCAGACAACGUCCGCGUUCGGCACUGCUCCGCGUCGUCUCUGCGUCCGGACCCGACCUUUUUUUUUAGGAUCACACGGUCAUUUUAUUGCUGUCCAGACCCGACCUCUAGCCAUCUCACCGCGCCACUGA